rnacentral:siRNA from 1 species
UAUCCUCUCAACUGCGCGCGGA